GAUGAAGAACGUAGCGAAAUGCGAUAAGUAAUGAGAAUUGCAGAAUUCAGUGAAUCAUCGAGUCUUUGAACGCACAUUGCGCCCCCUGGUAUUCCGGGGGGCAUGCCUGUCCGAGCGUCAUUGCUGCCCUCAAGCACGGCUUGUGUGUUGGGCCUCCGUCCUCCUCCCGGGGGACGGGCCCGAAAGGCAGCGGCGGCACCGCGUCCGGUCCUCGAGCGUAUGGGGCUUCGUCACCCGCUCUUGUAGGCCCGGCCGGCGCUUGCCGACACAUCAAUCUUUUUUCCAGGUUGACCUCGGAUCAGGUAGGGAUACCCGCUGAACUUAAGCAUAUCAAUAAGCGGAGGA
rnacentral:misc_RNA from 1 species